rnacentral:tRNA from 1 species
CAUUAAAUGACUGAAAUGUAAGUAUUGGUCUCUUAAACCAAAUUAUAGUAAUUUUACAAAUACUUUUAUUGA